UCUAAACGGGCGAGGAAAAAAAUCGGGCAAAGAAACGUCUGCUAAGAACGAAAAUAGGAGCCCCUGGGAUUCUUCUCUUAACCGACCAGUUCCGAAACCAUUUAAAGUCCUUGCCUGUGAUUGGACACAAAAAAUAUUUUUGUGCCCAAUCGGGGU